ACAAUGUACAGUACAGCCUGUGACAUUCUCUUAAUUAUGUCCACCCUCUUGCAUGGUCAACAUCCAAUGGUGGCCAUUUAUUGGGGUAUUCAAUUUUGAGAUGUUGGCCAUUUAUUGGGGUCAUAAAACAUAGGUUGAUGUUUUAUCUAAUAAUGUUACCUGUUGUAAUCAAUCAGGGUUGAAGUUUUCAACUUGUAUGUUUCUUUAAAAUUUACCUGUACAGAUAACUUAGGUUUCUUUCAAAAUUGACAUUUCACCUUUUUUUUGAAAAUGUAGAAUAAGACAUUG
rnacentral:lncRNA from 1 species